UCCGGUUUGUCACCGGCAGUCUCGCAUGAGUCCCCAACUGAAUGCUGGCAACAUGCGACAGGGGUUGCGCUCGUUGCGGGACUUAACCCAACAUCUCACGGCACGAGCUGACGACAGCCAUGCACCACCUGUGCACAGGCCCCGAAGGGCUGCCGUAUUUCUACGACAUUCCUGUGCAUGUCAAGCCUAGGUAAGGUUCUUCGCGUCGCGUCGAAUUAAACAACACGCUCCACCGCUUGUGCGGGUCCCCGUCAAUUCCUUUAUGUUUUAAGCUUGCGCUCGUACUCCACAGGCGGGAUGCUUAACGCGUUAGCUGCGCCACCGAAGAGCAAGCUCCCCGACGGCUAGCAUCCAUCGUUUACGGCGUGGACUAC
rnacentral:misc_RNA from 1 species